rnacentral:rRNA from 1 species
CAGUCGCCGCGGGAAUACGUAGGGUGCAAGCGUUAAUCGGAAUUACUGGGCGUAAAGCGUGCGCAGGCGGUUUGUUAAGACAGAUGUGAAAUCCCCGGGCUCAACCUGGGAACUGCAUUUGUGACUGGCAAGCUAGAGUCUGGCAGAGGGGGGUGGAAUUCCGCGUGUAGCAGUGAAAUGCGUAGAUAUGCGGAGGAACACCGAUGGCGAAGGCAGCCCCCUGGGCCAACACUGACGCUCAUGCACGAAAGCGUGGGGAGCAAACAGGAUUAGAUACCCCAGUAGUCCCUGUCUCUUAUAC